rnacentral:misc_RNA from 1 species
AACGCACCUUGCGCUCCUUGGUAUUCCGAGGAGCAUGCCUGUUUGAGUGUCAUGAAAUUCUCAACUGCCCCCAGGCUUUGUGGCUUGUGGGUGAAGUUGGACUUGGAGAUAUGCUGGCGCAUGAAUGGGCUUUAUGCCCUGUUGUGCUUGUCGGCUCCUCUUGAAUGCAUGAGCUUUCCAAUCCUUGGCAAAGUAUCGUCGAUGUGAUAAUUAUCUAUGUCGCCCGAGAAAGCCGAAAAGGGGAAAUCUUUGAUCACGCUGGGGUGACCCCUCGUCUGACACAUUCGACCUCAAAUCAGGUAGGACUACCCGCUGAACUUAA